GUGGGGAAUCUUAGACAAUGGGCGCAAGCCUGAUCUAGCCAUGCCGCGUGAGCGAUGAAGGCCUUAGGGUUGUAAAGCUCUUUCGUGGGGGAAGAUAAUGACUGUACCCCAAGAAGAAGCCCCGGCUAACUCCGUGCCAGCAGCCGCGGUAAUACGGAGGGGGCUAGCGUUGUUCGGAAUUACUGGGCGUAAAGCGCACGUAGGCGGACUGGAAAGUCAGGGGUGAAAUCCCGGGGCUCAACCCCGGAACUGCCUUUGAAACUCCCAGUCUUGAGUUCGAGAGAGGUGAGUGGAAUUCCGAGUGUAGAGGUGAAAUUCGGAGAUAUUCGGAGGAACACCAGUGGCGAAGGCGGCUCACUGGCUCGAUACUGACGCUGAGGUGCGAAAGCGUGGGGAGCAAACAGGAUUAGAAACCCGAGUAGUCC
rnacentral:rRNA from 1 species